CAGCAGCCGCGGUAAUACGUAGGGUGCGAGCGUUAAUCGGAUUUACUGGGCGUAAAGCGUGCGCAGGCGGCCCGUUAAGACAGGUGUGAAAUCCCUGGGCUCAACCUAGGAAUUGCGCUUGUGACUGGCGGGCUCGAGUACGGUAGAGGGGGGUGGAAUUCCUGGUGUAGCAGUGAAAUGCGUAGAGAUCAGGAGGAACACCGAUGGCGAAGGCAGCCCCCUGGGCCUGUACUGACGCUCAUGCACGAAAGCGUGGGGAGCAAACAGGAUUAGAUACCCUGGUAGUCCACGCCCUAAACGAUGGGUACUAGCCGUUUGGUGCGCGAUAGCGCUGAGUGGCGAAGCUAACGCGCGAAGUACCCCGCCUGGGGAGUACGGCCGCAAGGUUGAAACUUAAAGGAAUUGGCGGG
rnacentral:rRNA from 1 species